GUUGUAUAGUCAAGUAAUUAAGUGCAUGUGGUGGAUGCCUUGGCAGUCAGAGGCGAUGAAAGACGUGAUAGCCUGCGAAAAGCUCCGGGGAGGCGGCAAAUAUCCUUUGAUCCGGAGAUGUCUGAAUGGGGGAACCCACCUACUUUAAGGUAGGUAUUGCAACAUGAAUACAUAGUGUUGCAAGGCGAACGAGGGGAAGUGAAACAUCUCAGUACCCUUAGGAAAAGAAAUCAAUUGAGAUUCCCUCAGUAGCGGCGAGCGAACGGGGAUCAGCCCAUUAAGUUAUGUGUGUUUUAGUGGAACGCUCUGGGAAGUGCGAACGUAGAGGGUGAUAUUCCCGUACACGAAAGGGCACACAUAAUGAUGACGAGUAGGGCGAGGCACGUGAAACCUUGUCUGAAUAUGGGGGGACCAUCCUCCAAGGCUAAAUACUCCUGACUGACCGAUAGUGAACCAGUACCGUGAGGGAAAGGCGAAAAGAACCCCUGUGAGGGGAGUGAAAUAGAUCCUGAAACCGCAUGCAUACAAGCAGUGGGAGCACCUUUGUGGUGUGACUGCGUACCUUUUGUAUAAUGGGUCAGCGACUUAUAUUCAGUAGCAAGGUUAACCGUAUAGGGGAGCCGUAGAGAAAUCGAGUCUUAAUAGGGCGUUUAGUUGCUGGGUAUAGACCCGAAACCAGGCGAUCUAUCCAUGAGCAGGUUGAAGGUUGGGUAACACUAACUGGAGGACCGAACCCACUGUCGUUGAAAAGCCAGGGGAUGACUUGUGGAUAGGGGUGAAAGGCUAAUCAAGCCUGGUGAUAGCUGGUUCUCCCCGAAAGCUAUUUAGGUAGCGCCUCGGACGAAUACCAUAGGGGGUAGAGCACUGUUUCGGCUAGGGGGUCAUCCCGACUUACCAAACCGAUGCAAACUCCGAAUACCUAUGAGUACUAUCCGGGAGACAGACUGCGGGUGCUAACGUCCGUAGUCAAGAGGAAAACAAUCCAGACCGCCAGCUAAGGCCCCAAAAUCAUAGUUAAGUGGGAAACGAUGUGGGAAGGCAUAGACAGCUAGGAGGUUGGCUUAGAAGCAGCCACCCUUUAAAGAAAGCGUAAUAGCUCACUAGUCGAGUCGGCCUGCGCGGAAGAUGUAACGGGGCUAAAACUAUGUGCCGAAGCUGCGGAUGUAUACUUUGUAUACGUGGUAGGGGAGCGUUCUGUAAGCCGAUGAAGGUGUGUUGAGAAGCAUGCUGGAGGUAUCAGAAGUGCGAAUGCUGACGUGAGUAACGACAAAACGGGUGAAAAACCCGUUCGCCGAAAGACCAAGGGUUCCAGUCCAACGUUAAUCGGGGCUGGGUGAGUCGACCCCUAAGGCGAGGCCGAAAGGCGUAGUCGAUGGGAAAAUGGUUAAUAUUCCAUUACUUCUGUGUAAUGCGAUGAGAGGACGGAGAAGGCUAAAUCAGCCUGGCGUUGGUUGUCCAGGUGAAAGGAUGUAGGCAUGUAUCUUAGGCAAAUCCGGGGUACUCUAUGCUGAGAUCUGAUAGCAAGCUGUACUUGUACAGCGAAGUGGUUGAUGCCAUGCUUCCAGGAAAAGUCUCUAAGCUUCAGUUACACAGGAAUCGUACCCGAAACCGACACAGGUGGUCAGGUCGAGUAGACCAAGGCGCUUGAGAGAACUCUGCUGAAGGAACUAGGCAAAAUGGUACCGUAACUUCGGGAGAAGGUACGCUGUUGUUGGUGAUGGAACUCGCUUCCUGAGCUGACGACAGCCGCAGAAACCAGGCCGCUGCAACUGUUUAUUAAAAACAUAGCACUCUGCAAACACGAAAGUGGACGUAUAGGGUGUGAUGCCUGCCCGGUGCUGGAAGGUUAAUUGAUGGGGUUAGCGUAAGCGAAGCUCUUGAUCGAAGCCCCAGUAAACGGCGGCCGUAACUAUAACGGUCCUAAGGUAGCGAAAUUCCUUGUCGGGUAAGUUCCGACCUGCACGAAUGGCAUAAUGAUGGCGGCGCUGUCUCCAGCAGAGGCUCAGUGAAAUCGAAAUCGCUGUGAAGAUGCAGUGUACCCGCGGCUAGACGGAAAGACCCCGUGAACCUUUACUGCAGCUUGACACUGAACUUUGACCUUACUUGUGUAGGAUAGGUGGGAGGCUUUGAAGCUGGAACGCUAGUUCCAGUGGAGCCGUCCUUGAAAUACCACCCUGGUAAUGUUGAGGUUCUAACUCUGUCCCGUGAUCCGGGACGAGGACCGUGUCUGGUGGGUAGUUUGACUGGGGCGGUCUCCUCCUAAAGAGUAACGGAGGAGUACGAAGGUGCGCUCAGCGUGGUCGGAAAUCACGCGUAGAGUAUAAAGGCAAAAGCGCGCUUAACUGCGAGACCCACAAGUCGAGCAGGUACGAAAGUAGGUCUUAGUGAUCCGGUGGUUCUGUAUGGAAGGGCCAUCGCUCAACGGAUAAAAGGUACUCUGGGGAUAACAGGCUGAUACCGCCCAAGAGUUCAUAUCGACGGCGGUGUUUGGCACCUCGAUGUCGGCUCAUCUCAUCCUGGGGCUGAAGCAGGUCCCAAGGGUAUGGCUGUUCGCCAUUUAAAGAGGUACGCGAGCUGGGUUUAGAACGUCGUGAGACAGUUCGGUCCCUAUCUACCGUGGGCGCUGGAAAUUUGAGAGGAUCUGCUCCUAGUACGAGAGGACCAGAGUGGACGAACCUCUGGUGUACCGGUUGUGACGCCAGUCGCAUCGCCGGGUAGCUAUGUUCGGAAGGGAUAACCGCUGAAAGCAUCUAAGCGGGAAGCCUACCUCAAGAUAAGAUUUCCCUAGGACUUUAUGUCCUCUAAAGAGCCGUUCGAGACUAGGACGUUGAUAGGUUGGAUGUGGAAGCAUAGUGAUAUGUGAAGCUGACCAAUACUAAUUGCUCGUGAGGCUUGACUAUACAACACCCAAGCAGUUG
rnacentral:rRNA from 1 species